rnacentral:snoRNA from 2 species
GGAGCAGGUGAUGACAACAAGACAGGGACAUCAGAACCCUUUUUCUGGGUAUGAUAGACUAAGUCUUCAAUGGGAAUCUCUCUGAUGCUCU